CUGGAGGAGGAGGAGGAGGAAGGAGGAGGAGGAGGAGCUGAGCUUUGCAGCACAAACCUCAAACCUCUCGCUGAACAAUCACCGUUGAGAUUCAGUGUGAACGUACUUCCUCUCAUCCCUGUGUGGCCUGUGUUUCUUCUGCUCCUCGUCAGAUGGUGGAUCUACACAAGCUCAUGAAGGACAUCUGCCAAAAGUUUAUUUGUGUGUGUGCACAGAGAGCCGUUGUGUCAUUGUUGGCUGACGGGUAACGAGGGCAGCCAGCGCGUGACUCAGCCAAUGUUCUCUGAGCCACUUUUCAAACAGAUCCUUACCCAGUUUUCAGAUGUAUUCAAGUAUGGAUUACUGAACGGACCUACUGGGCUGCUAUCCAGAUAUUUCCACCACUUCAUCCUGAUAUUUGAAUGGGGCUCUUAAUAGUUGCAGUGCAGCGUUCCUCAUGGCCCAGCAGCGAGAGCUGAGCAGAGUGAGGGACAGGAUGGCUACAGCAGGAGCAAACUGAAGGACAGCGACUCCCAGACCUGAGCCGCGCACGAGGGCCUGCAGAGUGUGAACUGC